rnacentral:rRNA from 1 species
CCUACGGGUGGCAGCAGUGGGGAAUAUUGGGCAAUGGGCGCAAGCCUGACCCAGCAACGCCGCGUGAAGGAAGAAGGCUUUCGGGUUGUAAACUUCUUUUGUCAGGGAAGAGUAGAAGACGGUACCUGACGAAUAAGCCACGGCUAACUACGUGCCAGCAGCCGCGGUAAUACGUAGGUGGCAAGCGUUGUCCGGAUUUACUGGGUGUAAAGGGCGUGUAGCCGGGUUGACAAGUCAGAUGUGAAAUCCCGUGGCUCAACCACGGAACUGCAUUUGAAACUGUCGGUCUUGAGUAUCGGAGAGGCAGGCGGAAUUCCUAGUGUAGCGGUGAAAUGCGUAGAUAUUAGGAGGAACACCAGUGGCGAAGGCGGCCUGCUGGACGACAACUGACGGUGAGGCGCGAAAGCGUGGGGAGCAAACAGGAUUGGAUACCCCUGUAGUC